rnacentral:rRNA from 1 species
GACGAACGCUGGCGGCGUGCUUAACACAUGCAAGUCGAACGGAAAGGCCCUGCUUGCAGGGUGCUCGAGUGGCGAACGGGUGAGUAACACGUGGGUGAUCUGCCCCUUACUUUGGGAUAAGCCUGGGAAACUGGGUCUAAUACUGGAUAGGACCAUGCUGUAGGUGGUGUGGUGGAAAGAUUAGUUUCGGUAAGGGAUGAGCUCGCGGCCUAUCAGCUUGUUGGUGGGGUAAUGGCCUACCAAGGCGUCGACGGGUAGCCGGCCUGAGAGGGUGGACGGCCACAUUGGGACUGAGAUACGGCCCAGACUCCUACGGGAGGCAGCAGUGGGGAAUAUUGCACAAUGGGCGCAAGCCUGAUGCAGCGACGCCGCGUGGGGGAUGACGGCCUUCGGGUUGUAAACUCCUUUCAGCCAUGACGAAGCCCUUGUGGUGACGGUAGUGGUAGAAGAAGCACCGGCUAACUACGUGCCAGCAGCCGCGGUAAUACGUAGGGUGCGAGCGUUGUCCGGAAUUACUGGGCGUAAAGAGCUCGUAGGUGGUCUGUCGCGUCAUUUGUGAAAGCCCGGGGCUUAACUCCGGGUUGGCAGGUGAUACGGGCAUGACUGGAGUACUGUAGGGGAGACUGGAAUUCCUGGUGUAGCGGUGAAAUGCGCAGAUAUCAGGAGGAACACCGGUGGCGAAGGUGGGUCUCUGGGCAGUAACUGACGCUGAGGAGCGAAAGCAUGGGUAGCGAACAGG